GUGUCGAUGAAGAACGCAGCCAGGUGCGUGAAUUAAUGUGAAUUGCAGGACACAUUGAACAUCGAUAUCUUGAACGCACAUUGCGGCCCUGGGUCACUCCCGGAGCCACGCCUGUCUGAGGGUCGGC
rnacentral:rRNA from 3 species